rnacentral:rRNA from 1 species
UACGUAGGUGACCAGCGUUGUCCGGAUUUACUGGGCGUAAAGAGCGCGCAGGCGGUCGUUCAAGUCGAGUGUGAAAGCCCCCGGCUCAACUGGGGAGGGUCACUCGAUACUGAUCGACUUGAAGGCAGGAGAGGGAAGCGGAAUUCCCGGUGUAGCGGUGAAAUGCGUAGAGAUCGGGAGGAACAUCAGUGGCGAAGGCGGCCAUCUGGGACAACACUGACGCUGAAGCACGAAAGCGUGGGGAGCAAACAGG